CACGGGUGAGUAAUGUAUAAGUAAUAUGCCUCUUACUAAGGGAUAACAGUUGGAAACGACUGCUAAUACCUUAUAUUCCUUUUAUGCAUAAGUAUAAAAGGGAAAGAUUUAUUGGUAAGAGAUUAGCUUGUAUUGUAUCAGUUAGUUGGUGAGGUAAUGGCUCACCAAGACAAUGACGCAUAACUGGUUUGAGAGGAUGAUCAGUCACACUGGAACUGAGACACGGCCCAGACUCCUACGGGAGGCAGCAGUGGGGAAUAUUGCACAAUGGACGGAAGUCUGAUGCAGCAACGCCGCGUGGAGGAUGACACAUUUCGGUGCGUAAACUCCUUUUAUAUGAGAAGAUAAUGACGGUAUUAUAUGAAUAAGCACCGGCUAACUCCGUGCCAGCAGCCGCGGUAAUACGGGGGGUGCAAGCGUUACUCGGAAUCACUGGGCGUAAAGAGCAUGUAGGCGGAUUGAUAAGUUUGAAGUGAAAUCCUAUAGCUUAACUAUAGAACUGCUUUGAAAACUGUUAAUCUAGAAUGUGGGAGAGGUAGAUGGAAUUUCUGGUGUAGGGGUAAAAUCCGUAGAUAUCAGAAGGAAUACCGAUUGCGAAGGCGAUCUACUGGAACACUAUUGACGCUGAGAUGCGAAAGCGUGGGGAGCAAACAGGAUUAGAUACCCUGGUAGUCCACGCCCUUAACGAUGUACACUAGUUGUUGUGAGGCUAGACCUUGCAGUAAUGCAGUUAACACAUUAAGUGUACCGCCUGGGGAGUACGGUCGCAAGAUUAAACUCAAAGGAAUAGACGGGGACCCGCACAA
rnacentral:rRNA from 1 species